rnacentral:RNase_P_RNA from 1 species
GGAGUCGGACGGAUCAGCGCUGCGAAUGCAAAUUCGGAGAGGAAAGUCCGGGCUCCACAGGGCAGAACGCUGGGUAACUCCCAGGGGGAGCGAUCCCCGGCAAGCGCAACAGAAAGCAGACCGCCGCGCCUGAGGAUAUUUCCCGGUUUGCGGUAAGGGUGAAACGGUGGGGUAAGAGCCCACCGGUUGUCGCGGCGACGCGGCAAGCCAGGCAUGCCCCGUUCGGAGCAAAACCAAAUAGGAGAGCGAUAGUCCGGCCCGGACUGCUCUCGGGUAGGUUGCUUGAGGGUGCGAGUAAUCGCAUCCCUAGAGGAAUGCUGAUCUCCCCCGCUUUGCGGGGUGACAGAACCCGGCUUAUAGUCCGACUCCCAUU